rfam:Olsenella sp. An188 An188_contig_9, whole genome shotgun sequence.
CGGGUUGUGGCUCAGCUUGGUAGAGCGCUCGGUUCGGGACCGAGAGGUCGCUGGUUCGAAUCCAGUCAACCCGA